rnacentral:rRNA from 1 species
UUAAGCGACUAAGCGUACACGGUGGAUGCCCUGGCAGUCAGAGGCGAUGAAGGACGUGCUAAUCUGCGAUAAGCGUCGGUAAGGUGAUAUGAACCGUUAUAACCGGCGAUUUCCGAAUGGGGAAACCCAGUGUGUUUCGACACACUAUCAUUAACUGAAUCCAUAGGUUAAUGAGGCGAACCGGGGGAACUGAAACAUCUAAGUACCCCGAGGAAAAGAAAUCAACCGAGAUUCCCCCAGUAGCGGCGAGCGAACGGGGAGGAGCCCAGAGCCUGAAUCAGUGUGUGUGUUAGUGGAAGCGUCUGGAAAGGCGCGCGAUACAGGGUGACAGCCCCGUACACAAAAAUGCACAUACUGUGAGCUCGAUGAGUAGGGCGGGACACGUGGUAUCCUGUCUGAAUAUGGGGGGACCAUCCUCCAAGGCUAAAUACUCCUGACUGACCGAUAGUGAACCAGUACCGUGAGGGAAAGGCGAAAAGAACCCCGGCGAGGGGAGUGAAAAAGAACCUGAAACCGUGUACGUACAAGCAGUGGGAGCACGCUUAGGCGUGUGACUGCGUACCUUUUGUAUAAUGGGUCAGCGACUUAUAUUCUGUAGCAAGGUUAACCGAAUAGGGGAGCCGAAGGGAAACCGAGUCUUAACUGGGCGUUAAGUUGCAGGGUAUAGACCCGAAACCCGGUGAUCUAGCCAUGGGCAGGUUGAAGGUUGGGUAACACUAACUGGAGGACCGAACCGACUAAUGUUGAAAAAUUAGCGGAUGACUUGUGGCUGGGGGUGAAAGGCCAAUCAAACCGGGAGAUAGCUGGUUCUCCCCGAAAGCUAUUUAGGUAGCGCCUCGUGAAUUCAUCUCCGGGGGUAGAGCACUGUUUCGGCAAGGGGGUCAUCCCGACUUACCAACCCGAUGCAAACUGCGAAUACCGGAGAAUGUUAUCACGGGAGACACACGGCGGGUGCUAACGUCCGUCGUGAAGAGGGAAACAACCCAGACCGCCAGCUAAGGUCCCAAAGUCAUGGUUAAGUGGGAAACGAUGUGGGAAGGCCCAGACAGCCAGGAUGUUGGCUUAGAAGCAGCCAUCAUUUAAAGAAAGCGUAAUAGCUCACUGGUCGAGUCGGCCUGCGCGGAAGAUGUAACGGGGCUAAACCAUGCACCGAAGCUGCGGCAGCGACGCUUAUGCGUUGUUGGGUAGGGGAGCGUUCUGUAAGCCUGUGAAGGUGUGCUGUGAGGCAUGCUGGAGGUAUCAGAAGUGCGAAUGCUGACAUAAGUAACGAUAAAGCGGGUGAAAAGCCCGCUCGCCGGAAGACCAAGGGUUCCUGUCCAACGUUAAUCGGGGCAGGGUGAGUCGACCCCUAAGGCGAGGCCGAAAGGCGUAGUCGAUGGGAAACAGGUUAAUAUUCCUGUACUUGGUGUUACUGCGAAGGGGGGACGGAGAAGGCUAUGUUGGCCGGGCGACGGUUGUCCCGGUUUAAGCGUGUAGGCUGGUUUUCCAGGCAAAUCCGGAAAAUCAAGGCUGAGGCGUGAUGACGAGGCACUACGGUGCUGAAGCAACAAAUGCCCUGCUUCCAGGAAAAGCCUCUAAGCAUCAGGUAACAUCAAAUCGUACCCCAAACCGACACAGGUGGUCAGGUAGAGAAUACCAAGGCGCUUGAGAGAACUCGGGUGAAGGAACUAGGCAAAAUGGUGCCGUAACUUCGGGAGAAGGCACGCUGAUAUGUAGGUGAAGUCCCUUGCGGAUGGAGCUGAAAUCAGUCGAAGAUACCAGCUGGCUGCAACUGUUUAUUAAAAACACAGCACUGUGCAAACACGAAAGUGGACGUAUACGGUGUGACGCCUGCCCGGUGCCGGAAGGUUAAUUGAUGGGGUCAGCGCAAGCGAAGCUCUUGAUCGAAGCCCCGGUAAACGGCGGCCGUAACUAUAACGGUCCUAAGGUAGCGAAAUUCCUUGUCGGGUAAGUUCCGACCUGCACGAAUGGCGUAAUGAUGGCCAGGCUGUCUCCACCCGAGACUCAGUGAAAUUGAACUCGCUGUGAAGAUGCAGUGUACCCGCGGCAAGACGGAAAGACCCCGUGAACCUUUACUAUAGCUUGACACUGAACAUUGAGCCUUGAUGUGUAGGAUAGGUGGGAGGCUUUGAAGUGUGGACGCCAGUCUGCAUGGAGCCGACCUUGAAAUACCACCCUUUAAUGUUUGAUGUUCUAACGUGGACCCGUAAUCCGGGUUGCGGACAGUGUCUGGUGGGUAGUUUGACUGGGGCGGUCUCCUCCUAAAGAGUAACGGAGGAGCACGAAGGUUGGCUAAUCCUGGUCGGACAUCAGGAGGUUAGUGCAAUGGCAUAAGCCAGCUUGACUGCGAGCGUGACGGCGCGAGCAGGUGCGAAAGCAGGUCAUAGUGAUCCGGUGGUUCUGAAUGGAAGGGCCAUCGCUCAACGGAUAAAAGGUACUCCGGGGAUAACAGGCUGAUACCGCCCAAGAGUUCAUAUCGACGGCGGUGUUUGGCACCUCGAUGUCGGCUCAUCACAUCCUGGGGCUGAAGUAGGUCCCAAGGGUAUGGCUGUUCGCCAUUUAAAGUGGUACGCGAGCUGGGUUUAGAACGUCGUGAGACAGUUCGGUCCCUAUCUGCCGUGGGCGCUGGAGAACUGAGGGGGGCUGCUCCUAGUACGAGAGGACCGGAGUGGACGCAUCACUGGUGUUCGGGUUGUCAUGCCAAUGGCACUGCCCGGUAGCUAAAUGCGGAAGAGAUAAGUGCUGAAAGCAUCUAAGCACGAAACUUGCCCCGAGAUGAGUUCUCCCUGACUCCUUGAGAGUCCUGAAGGAACGUUGAAGACGACGACGUUGAUAGGCCGGGUGUGUAAGCGCAGCGAUGCGUUGAGCUAACCGGUACUAAUGAACCGUGAGGCUUAACCUU